ensembl:misc_RNA 7SK 7SK RNA
AAAUCUGAGGGUGAUCACUCUGUGACAUCUGUCACCCCACUGGUUGCCAGGGUUGACUAGGCUGAUCUGGCUGACUAGUGUGUGUCCCCAUCAUCCCUCAUCAUUCCAUGUUUUUCCUUCCUGAAGCUGUAGGCUUGGUGGAGUAGGAGGACCUUCUCCAUUGGAGGAAGACUGUUCUUUGGUCAAGAGUAUGAGAGUAGCUGCAUUCCCUGCAAGAACUUCCAAAUGAGCUCUCUUUUCAUAUUUCACUUUUUUUUCAUUUUUUAUUCAAUGUCUCAAAAGGCCAGGGGGUAGGAUUACCUUCUGGCAAUAAGCAAAACAAAAUAGUUCUUGGAUUGACAAAAUAU